rnacentral:piRNA from 1 species
UUCAAGGUUGCUUGCGGAAGCUGUCUAC